GUGCUUGCUCCAGCACCGCCCAUUCUGAAAUUGGAACAAUGUAGAUAUUAACAAAGCCCCCUGCACAAGGGUGACACACAAACUCAUGAAGUGUUCCAAACUGUU
ensembl:snRNA U6 U6 spliceosomal RNA